rnacentral:rRNA from 1 species
GAACGCUGGCGGCAGGCCUAACACAUGCAAGUCGAGCGGGUUUCGGACCUAGCGGCGGACGGGUGAGUAAUGCGUAGGAAGCUACCCGACAGAGGGGGAUACCAGUUGGAAACGACUGUUAAUACCGCAUAAUGUCUACGGACCAAAGUGUGGGACCUUCGGGCCACAUGCUAUCGGAUGCGCCUACGUGGGAUUAGCUAGUUGGUGAGGUAAUGGCUCACCAAGGCGACGAUCUCUAGCUGGUUUGAGAGGAUGAUCAGCCACACUGGAACUGAGACACGGUCCAGACUCCUACGGGAGGCAGCAGUGGGGAAUAUUGGACAAUGGGCGCAAGCCUGAUCCAGCCAUGCCGCGUGUGUGAAGAAGGCCUUCGGGUUGUAAAGCACUUUCAGCGAGGAGGAAGAGUUGUGUGUUAAUAGUACACAGCUUUGACGUUACUCGCAGAAGAAGCACCGGCUAACUCUGUG